rnacentral:rRNA from 1 species
CGGCAGGCCUAAACAUGCAAGUCGAGCGGUAACAGGAGAAGCUUGCUUCUCGCUGACGAGCGGCGGACGGGUGAGUAAUGCGUAGGAAUCUACCCUUUUGUGGGGGAUAGCCCGGAGAAAUCCGGAUUAAUACCGCAUAAGCUCUUCGGAGGAAAGUGGGGGAUCUUCGGACCUCACGCUGAAGGAUGAGCCUACGUUGGAUUAGCUUGUUGGUGGGGUAAAGGCCUACCAAGGCGACGAUCCAUAGCUGGUCUGAGAGGAUGAUCAGCCACACCGGGACUGAGACACGGCCCGGACUCCUACGGGAGGCAGCAGUGGGGAAUAUUGGACAAUGGGCGCAAGCCUGAUCCAGCCAUGCCGCGUGUGUGAAGAAGGCUCUAGGGUUGUAAAGCACUUUAAGCAGGGAAGAAACGCUGUUGGUUAAUAACCAUCAGUACUGACGGUACCUGCAGAAUAAGCACCGG